UGUGAUUUGGAGGCAUUUUCAAGGAAAGGAUUAAGAAAGAAUGAUUUUUUAAUAGCAUAAAGACAAGCCAAGAGAGGCAUGUGCUCUCUGUGACCUAAUGAAUAUUCCUUCCUUUCUCUCACAAAGCUCAAAGCCUGUAAUUGGCUCAUCAGGGUACAAAGUGUACACUCGGGCUUGGAUUGUGGGGGACAGAAACUUCCCAUGUGACUCCAUCUCCUCAAUGGGGAUGUCUGUGUUCCCACACUUGUUCAGAAACAUGUUCUGCCAUUCACAGACUCAUAGAGGGGAGCCAUUUAGGCUUGAUGUCAGGAAAAGAGGUAAAAACAACUUCCUAACAAUGAGAAGCAUACAAAAGGGAAAUCGACUACCUGGGGUAUGGUGGAGGCUGAGUGGGAGAGGAAAGGCAAAAUCUUGGCCUCUCUUUUACUGGAGGUCUUCAAUCAGAGGUUAGAGAAGCGGGGAAUGGAGAGGGGCAUGUGGGAAGAAGGAUUUUUUUUAAUAUAUGGACUAGACAAGGUAGCCAUGGAGAAACUUCCUAACCUUAUGAAGCUAUGGUUACAUUAUAGAAUAUAAGAGAUGGUAGGAAUGUAGAAUCUAGAGAACAGUGAAUGUCAGUGUUGAGAGAAGCCUUAGAACAGAGAAUGUCAGAACUCUGUGGAGCCUUAGAACAUAGGAUGUCAGAGUUGGGAGAGUCAUGUUAGAACAGAGAAUAUCAGGGUUGGGGGAUGGACCUUAGAACAGGUAAUAAGAGAACUACAGGGGCCUGAGAACAGAGGAUAUCAAGACAGAAAGAGACCUUUUGGAGGUAACAUUUGGAUGUAACAAUGUGCUCCGGUCAUUGAAGAAGCCAUUUUUUGUAGGAACAAUGACAGAGGAUGACCAUGAACAAGGAACUUUUAUGGAAUUGCAGAAUUUUAGAACUGGAAGAACCCCAGGAGGUCAUACAACAACAAGAAGAAGCAUUUUAAUUAGCACUUUAAAACUUCAGAGCAAGUUACAUAGACUAUCUCAUUUGACACUUCUAAUGACCCUACAAGUUGAAUGCUUGCUGCUGCUUGGUAAGAAAGGAGUUUACAAAAAUGCAAGAGGAAGAUGCAAGAUCAAAAUUCCAUUUGGAAUUCCAAUUACCUGGGACUGGACAGGAAGAGACAGUGGACCCCUUCUCUGUGGCUGUCUUGAGAUACCUGCCUGCUUCCUGCUGUUCACACUACAAAGAGAACCUGGAUUUCUUCUGGAGGUGUCUUUAUUUGGAGCAAAGGAAGACUCUUGUCUGGGCCAAUCACAGCUUCCAAAUUGUCUAGCACUGACCAGGGGGAAGAAGACCAUCCAAGAGAGACUAGAUGUUUACUUCCUUCCGGGUGUUGGAGGUGGGAAGAAGGAGGAGCUCAUUCUGCCCAGUCUGGAGUGGAGUACCUCUACUUGCUUCAGCCCGAAGACAUAG
rnacentral:lncRNA from 1 species